rnacentral:lncRNA from 1 species
AAAAUCAUGAUACAGAGGAAAUAACCGGGAAGGUACAAUCCGAAAAGAAAGAAAGAUUCUCAUCUCUUCGAACUACCAGGUACGUAAAUUUCGAGGGCGAAAUUUUAUAAGGAGGGGAGAUUGUGAGAUACCAAAUUUUAUGAUAUGAAAAUAUUCAAUUUUCUUAUAAUUAUUAUUCUAUUUAGUAAAUGGUUAAAUUGAUA